GGUGAAAGGCCAAUCAAACUCGGAGAUAGCUGGUUCUCUGCGAAAUCUAUUUAGGUAGAGCGUCAUCCGAAUACCCUCGGGGGUAGAGCACUGGAUGGGUAAUGGGGCCCCACAGGCUUACUGAUCCUAACCAAACUCCGAAUACCGAGGAGUACUAGAUGGCAGACACACAGCGGAUGCUAACGUCCGUUGUGAAGAGGGAAACAACCCUGACCUACAGCUAAGGCCCCUAAUUCAUGGCUAAGUGGGAAAGCAGGUGAGACGACCAAAACAACCAGGAGGUUGGCUU
rnacentral:rRNA from 1 species